rnacentral:tRNA from 1 species
GCAUCUUCUUGGCUCAGUGGGAGAGCAUGCGCUCAGCAUGCUCAGGGUCACGGGUUCAACCCCCUGCGUCUCCA